rnacentral:rRNA from 1 species
UACAGAGGUGGCAAGCGUUGUUCGGAAUUACUGGGCGUAAAGGGCGCGUAGGCGGCCUACUAAGUCAGACGUGAAAUCCCCCGGCUUAACCUGGGAACUGCGUCUGAUACUGGAAGGCUUGAGGAUGGGAGAGGGAUGUAGAAUUCCAGGUGUAGCGGUGAAAUGCGUAGAUAUCUGGAGGAACACCGGUGGCGAAGGCGGCAUCCUGGACCAUAACUGACACUGAUAAGCGAAAGCCAGGGGAGCAAACGGG